AAACAUGGUUCCCUGAAAAUUAUAUAUAGGGAAUCCAGCCUGCCCACUGCUCAGUAAAGGGCUGCGGUAUCCUGACCGUACAAAGGUAGCAUAAUAAUUCGUCAUUUAAUUGGUGGCUAGUAUGAAUGGCUUCAUUGAGGUUGACUGUCUCGGCUUUAUUAAUUCUAACUUUAUUUACCAGUGCAGAAGCUGGUGUCUUUAAGGAGGACGAGAAGACCCUAAGAGCUUGAUCUGUAUUAGGGUUUGCCUAAUAAAGUUUUGGUUGGGGCAACUCUGAGCAUAACUGAGCGCUCUAGGUUCUUUCUUUUCAAGGUAGUUCCCUUUUUUAAGGCUUUAUCGUUUGUAUAGAGUUACCUUAGGGGUAACAGCGUGAUAUUUUCUUGAAGUUCUAAUUUGAGUAGAUGUUUGCGACCUCGAUGUUGGAUUAAGGUUAUAGUCUAUGGUGUAGAAGUUAUAGAUUUGGGGCUGUUCGCCCUUUUUAUCCUUACAUGAUCUGA
rnacentral:rRNA from 1 species